rnacentral:lncRNA from 13 species
CGGAGCCUCCCUGCGCCCAGACGCCGAGAUGCAAAUAGGGUAGCCAGGCUUGGUGCGGCCAACAUCCAGGAUCGAGGGGCCCCAGAAUGCGCUGGUGGCCGGGAGCGCGGCAGCUUGGGGGCUGGAACCAGAGGAUUCCUUCCCUCUUCCCUGGGGGCCAGGCCCCCACGAGUUGCAGCAGAGCCUGCCAGUAAUUAGGGCCUCCUGGUCUGGCUGGGUUGCGGCUGCUCUUGGAGAGGCCGGGCAGAGCCAGGGACGCAGAAGACGCUGGACGAGGGGUCUUGGGAAUAACUCUCUGGUUGCGGUUGGAAGCACAGGUUUUCCCACCCGCCUGCGCAGGCGCUGCGCUGUGGCCACCAGCAGAGGUUUCCCGGCCGCUAUGGCAGGAUUUCCCCUUCAAGCCCCAGCGCAGCCCCACCUGCAGAAAAUGGGGAAGUUCUAA